rnacentral:rRNA from 1 species
UACGUAGGUGGCAAGCGUUGUCCGGAUUUACUGGGCGUAAAGGGCGUGCAGGCGGUCUGUUAAGUGCAGGGUGAAAGCUCCCGGCUCAACUGGGAGAGGUCCUUGCAUACUGGCGGACUUGAGGGGGGUAGAGGAAAGUGGAAUUCCCGGUGUAGUGGUGAUAUGCGUAGAUAUCGGGAGGAACACCAGUGGCGAAGGCGGUUCUCUGGGACGGUACUGACGCUGAGACGCGAAAGCGUGGGGAGCGAACAGG